rnacentral:lncRNA from 1 species
UCAGAUUUGAAUAUCAUUCUCUGAUUGAGCUCCUGGUCCAUGCAAAGCAGUACAAAGCAUGAAUUUCUAAAACUCGACAGCUUGAUCCCUCAUGCUUCUUGCCACAAUAAUUUUGAUGCAUGCAAACCAGAGUAUUGGAUAUAGAAUUUAAUGUAACCUAGUAUUUCUGACCAUUCAAUAAAAGAAACUAGGACCAUCAAUGCCUUCAUACUGUUUAACAGUCACACCUUGAAUCUAGCACCU